rnacentral:rRNA from 1 species
CCCUUAGAUGUUCUGGGCUGCACGCGCGCUACACUGAUGCACUCAACGAGUUUACGACCUUGCCCGAUAGGGUUGGGUAAUCUUUUUAAAAUGCAUCGUGAUGGGGACAGAUUAUUGCAAUUAUUAAUCUUCAACGAGGAAUUCCUAGUAAGCGCGAGUCAUCAGCUCGUGCUGAUUACGUCCCUGCCCUUUGUACACACCGCCCGUCGCUCCUACCGAUUGAGUGCUCAGGUGAAUAAUUCGGACUGCAGCAAUGUUUGGAUCCCGAACGUUGCAGCGGAAAGUUUAGUGAACCUUAUCACUUAGAGGAAGGAGAAGUCGUAACA